ACAGAAAUAGACUGAUAAACACAAGAGAACACAGGGUUGAUUACCACAGGGUUGGGGGACGGAAUGGGUGAAAUGGGUGAAGGAGAUGUCACAGAGAUGGAAACACAGCAUAGAGAAUAUAGCUCAUAACAUUGUAAUUAUCUUUGUAUGGUGAUAGAUGAUAACUAUAGUUAACAUGAGCUUUUGAUGAUGUAUAAUGAUUGAUGAAUCACUAAAUUCAUCUGAGACUAUAUAUAAUAUAUAUAAUAGUGUGACAUUUGUUUUUAAACAUAUUUUAAUAUAGCUAUUAUGUGAGAGAUGUGAUCAUACCCAUUUUACAGAUGAUGAAACUGAAACCAAGAGAGUAGAACCAACUAGUUCUGGAUAAAGGCAGCUCCCUAAUUCCCAGAUCGCUUGUUCUCUCACCAAGAUGACACUGCCUUUUGAAGGUCUCUUUCCCAGCUGGAAAGCGCUUCCUUGAUUGUGGAGAGAGGACCCUCUGUUGUGAGGAAAAAAGGAGGAUGAAAGAAGAGGUGCGAGUAGAGGAAAGCCACAGACUAAGAGAGAAAGCCCAGAGGCAGGGACAGAGGUAAGCAAGUAAGAGGAAAGAGGCACAAAAAGGGGGUUGUUUGGCAGGUUCUGGGGGAUGCGGUGACCUGUAGUGCCCUGGCUUAUUAGCGGGUAACUAUUAUUUACAACUCCUACUGAUCUUUACCUUAAACUUUCAGAUGCCUCCUCCUUGGAAUGGAGGAGCUACAAGAGCCCACUGGAGAAGAGCUGCUGUAUUAAACAGAAGAUCCCAGUUAAAUCUGAAUUUUAGAUAAACAACAAAAAGCUUUUUAGCAUAAGACAAACCAUUCUUUGGACCGGAGCCUCAACAACCAGAUCAAUAUUUACACUGAGGGUCAGUGGUGGAUAGCAGGGAAUUAAGUUGCAAGUCACUUCUGGAAAUGAGUGUAGCAGCACAGAUUUUGCUGAACAGGAUAGAAAUCAGCAACUGGGGAACAUCAAACCCUAGGCUUUCUCCUUGCACUGUUUAUUUCUUGCUCUUCUCCUCCAAUACAUCUGAGACUGUGUUGGCCCCUCUCCUUGCCAAGGGUUAUAGAAACUAAAAAGAGUAACUCUACCCCAGGUUAUGUCGGGAUUGUGGGUAACUUGGUCUGCAUGGGGGUUCCUGAAGAUUUUGCAAGAUUCUGAAGGUUGUGAGGCAGAUUACAAGUUUACAGACAUGAAGGAACAAGAAAAAACAAAAUAUAGGCCAUUAAGUACUAGAUGCUAAAAAAAAAUCUUAAACUGACUUUUAAUCAUUAACUUUCUUAGUGACAUGACCAAGCCCAUGCCACCAUCCUCAGAGACAGGAGCAAUGAGGGUUCCCUAACCAGAAGAUUCAGGUUCACCCAGCACUUGGUGAAGAGGACCCAAAGUGAUGUCGGCAGGGGCCACCGCUGCUAUCCUUGCUAAGGGGCCAAGAGGUCGUCUGGGGGCUGCGCUGAAAGAGCUGCUUCUGCUCUGGAGUCCUGCUCCAUGGGCUCUGGGGAACCUGGCAGUGUCAUAUAGGACAACAACUGCCUGCAACUGAGACCUUUGUAGGACUUCUGUUUAGUGCCCCUAUUAUUUACUCUGACUGCACCCCUGCAGUUCCCACAUUUAUGCUCCUUGCCAGGUCCCUGUAGGCACCAGAGACUGUAAUUCAUAAUGUAUGACCUUCUAGAUUUUAAGAAAUUAUGUAUCUAAUUGCAAUAAUAACUAUUAUUAUUAUAGCUUAAAAUGGGGUCAUUCCAUAUAUUCUGUACCCGAACUUGCUUUUUUCAGGUUAACGACAGAGCAUGGAUACCUUUGCAUGUCGUUCACAUAGAUUUAUUCCAUUAUUUUUAACUGCCUCAUGGUAUGUGGAUGUUAUCAUGGUAAAGUGUAUUUAAUCCUUUGAUGGAAAUUUAAGUUGCUCUUUCUUUUCUUGUUAUAAAAAUGUUGAAAGGAUAACCUUGUACAUAUAUCUUUGCACGUGUGCACAUAUUUCUAUAUGAUAAACUGUGGAAGUAUAGGGUCAAUUGGUAUAUCCAUUUAACAUUUCCAUAGAUAGCAUUAACUCUCUCUAAAAAGUACCAAUUUACAGUCCCACCAGUAUGGUCAUGCUCUCCUUCACAGCCUUAGCAAUCCUGGGUGACAGCAACUUUUUUUGGCAGUAAGAUAUGGGGAAAAUGAGGCACUUUUGUUUUAGUUGGCAUUUCUUUUUUUUUUUUUUAAGUUAUCUUUGAUAUACAAUCUUAUGAAGGUUUCACAUAAACAACACAGUGGUUUCAACAUUCACCCAUAUUAUCAUGUCCCCCCUCCACCACCUUGCAGUCACUGUCCAUCAGCGUCGUAAAGAUGCCACAGAGUCACUACUUGUCUUCUCCAUUGUAUAUUGCCUUCCCUGUAAUCUACCUAUACUGUGAGUGGUGAUUAUAGUGCCCCUUAAUCCCCUUCUCCCUCCCCCACCACCUUCCCCAAUCCCUCCCCUCUAGUAACUGCUAGUCCCUUCUUGGAGUCUGUGAGUCUGCUGCUGUUUAGUUCCUUCAGUUUUGCUUUGUUUUUAUACUCCACAAGUGAGUGAAGUCAUUUGGUACUUGUCUUUCUCCCUAGUUGGAAUUUGUUUAUCAUGUCAGGCUGAGCUUUUUUUUCAUAUAGAUACUGUUUAUGACUGUUUUUUCCUCCACAAAAUGCUUGGUUUUUAUAUUUUGCCUUUUUUUCUAUUUUCUUCAUUUAUUGAUUUUUAAAGAAGUCUUCGUAUAUUAUGGAUAAAAAUUCAAUUGCCUAAUAUACUGCAAGUAUUUCCUCUGAGGACAGGCUCAUGUACUUAACUCUUGAUAGUGUUUUCAUCCAUUUGGGCCUCAAAGGAGUCUUUAAUUUUUGUUUUUGUCAUUGGCAUAACUCUUUUAGAAGACUGUACAAAUAUCCAAGUGGUAUUUUAUUGUUAUAUUUUUAUUUUAAAUUUCCAAGUUUGCUUGCAUUUAGGUCAGAAUGUGGCAUAGGAAGAUCCCUACUUAAUGGAAUUGCAAUUUUCUCAGUGACCUAAAAUAUAAUAAAUUUUUGUGAAUGUUAUGUAGCUAUUUGAAAUGGAUGCCCAUUUUCCCUCUGCAGAGCACUAGGUUUAUACAUAUCCAGGCUUUUAAAUGUGGCAUUCAAGUCCUUUAUAACCUUAUUUAUGUUUGGUCUGCUUGACCUUAUGAAUUCUGAGAAAGGUAGAUUCAAGUAUUCUACUAUAGUUGUAAUUUUAACAAUUUUCUUCCUAGUAUUUCUUAUAGUGUUUAGGGGAGGGUGGUAUAUUUUGAUGCCAUUUUGGCUAAUGUAGAAAGGUUCAUGCCUGGUGCAUCUUUGUCCCAGGUGGCUGGUUAAUGCCUUUUUUCAUUAUCCAAUGCUUCCCUUCCUGUCCAUCCUUCUAUUUUUUGUCUGAAAUUUUAGUUUGCCUAACCUUACUAUUGCUACCCCUUGCUUUUCGUUGCCAUUUGCCUGAAAUGGUUUUGUUCAUCCCUUUACUUUCAACCACUCCAUGUCAUUUUAGGUGUAUCUCUUGUACCAGUACAACAUACAGCUAGAUGUGUUCCCUUCUUCCUUAGUAAGAGAAUACUAGGUGAUGUACCCAGGCCAAAAGAAAACACUUCUUUGCACAUCUUAGAGCUAAAGAUGGUCAUGUUAUUAAGUUAGUCAAUGAGAGGUACACAGAAGUGUGUUAUGGGGCUUUGGGAGGGCUCCUUAAAAGGGCUCUGGCUCGGGCUCGGGCUCUUUACUGCUCUCCUUUCUUCCCUUUCUUCUCAUCUGCACUGAGGACAGGAUGGCUGAUGCUUCUAGCAGCCAUCUGGGACCGAGAGUGACCUUGACAAUAGAAGCCACAUGCCAGGAUAAUGAAACAGAAAGACAGGAGGAGUCUGGAGCCUGGGUCCCUCAUGACUGAGAGCUGUCCAUCAGUGAGACUCUUCCUUACGGACUGCUUUCACUUGAGAGAGAAACCUCACCUUGUUUAAAUCACACUUUGUUUGGCUUUUCUGUUACAUGUAAACAUUAGAAGUCCCAAAAGAUACAUCAGAUUUUGCCUUUUUAAAAAAAACUCGAUUGAAGCAUUAUUGUCUUUAAUCCUUUAAAACCUGAAUCUUAGUUCCUAUUUCAGUUAUAUUAGUAGUUACAUUAAAAUGCUUAAUAAACACAUUUGGUCAUUUAUUUCCCAACAGGUGUGCUUUAGGAUUGGCUGCAUCAUCACCACCUGGGAGUCUGCAAGCAAUGUGGCAUCUCAUGCCCUCCCUAUACCAGCUGAAUCAGAAGCUCAUUUUCACAAGAUCCUCAGCCACUUCCCCUCAUCCUCCGUCUGGGAAAUGCCAGAGGUCCGCUUGGGAGUUAGGACUGCAAUUCCCAACUUCUUGCGUUUCCUCCCCUGAAGCCCCUGAAGCCCCACAGGCAAUAUAGAUGAACACUCAGGCCCCCGGGAGAGAGGCCCAGGAAGAGCAAGGCUGGUGGCCUGAGAAAGGUUUGUGCAUUCACGGGCUCCUCCGCUGCUGGUUUCAUGCAGAACUCUGCCUGCCUGACUGGGGAACCAUCCAAAUCCAGUGACUUGCACUGCACGUUGUCCAGCCUGGUUUUCUCCCCCAAUGGGAAGCCCUUGUUCAGAUGGAAUCUGACGUGAAAUCCUGAUACAGCAUGUGAGACAGACAUGAGUAAGCAGCUCGGGUGGAAGGGGGGCCCAGAAGUGGGAGCUGCAGAGCUGGUGACUGGAGUGUCUCCUGUUCUUGACAUUAGAGCUUUUUCCAGAGCAUUUCAAGGCUUGAAGUAAAGCCAGAGCUGGGAAAGGAGAAACAUAGAGCCCUACCUGGAGUCCUGCCCAUACACUUCCUUAUGCUAGCUGCAAAUUUCCAUUUGAGUCCUAGAAAUGCCAUCUCUUCUGUCCCUCUUUGUGUGCUCAAUGGCUGCUAUAGAGGAGUGGGAAGUGAGGGGCACAGGGGGUCCCCGCUGCUGGGGCUUCCUUAAGUCCAAAGCAGAGGGACCCUCAGGUAGUGCUCAGAGAGUGGUUAAUGGGUCGUGAAUUUCACCUUCCAGAUGACCCUGUGGGGUGAAGCAUUCAGGAGGACAGCAGGUGAAUUCAGGAGGUAAAAAGGUGAACAACAAAUCCAUCCUCAUGAGGGCUUUCUAAACAUGGAGUUAUUUUCUCCAAGCCUUCCAGAAUCAUUGACUAAUUCAGCCCACAAAUCCAUAUCUAAAACCAACUGUGUGCAGAGCGACACACUAGGGUAAUAAAGUGUGAACAACUGAUUUAAUGCUUUGAUAGUUUUAACCAGAGCCUCCUAGGACAAUAACUGGCUCUCUUCAGGAGGACUGUGCCGUGUGCUGGGAGGGGCAGGACAGCGCCAGACAGUUCAUUCUGUUCCGACAGCAGACAAGGUCCCCUUCUGCCCUCUCAGUUUCCACUGCCUGUCUCUCCAAGGCCAAAGGAAUACUCUGUCCCAGAUCACAAUGACUUGUGGUUUCUAAGUGCUUUCCUGAUUCCUGGUAGUUUCACUUCCUGGAACUGUAGCCCAGUGGCUACCUCACUGCCAGAGGCACGUCUAGGUAUUUCCCCUGGAUAGCUAGCUUAGAGUUUUGAAACCUUAAAGCCACCUCCGCUUUCCCUUCUCCCUUACCUCCCAUAAGCACCAGGCCCCAGUCCUGCUGAGCCUACCCACAUGCCCUCUCCAUCCCAUCACCGCUAAUGCCGGCUCAUGAGGACUCUUGUUUCCAGCUCCCAGUCGGUCUCCCUGCCUCGACAUUUCGCUCACUCAUGCCAGCCCUGAUCAUCUCACACACUGCAGUCAGGAAGAACUCCCAAACACACAUCUCUGACAACACUACUCCCCAGUUUGAAACCCUCUCCACUCUCCCGCCACCUGCAGGGGGUCCUCAGCUCUCAGUCAGUCAUCCCAAGACCCAACCUAGAAAGGUGCCCCUGCCUUCCUAGUUUUACCCCCUGCUCAGCUUUCCUGGCCGUGGCCUAUGUUCUGGCCAUACAAGCUCACUUGCUGCUCCCCAUUCAAUUCCCAAGUUCCCCCCAACUCCCAGGUUUGGCUUCAGCUAUUCCUUCUGUGUUGAAUGCUCUCAUCUGUGUCCCAUUUAUUCCUUCCUUUGGGCCAGCUCCACUCUCAGGAACCGGACUAGACCCCACAAUCAAAAUGCCCCUCACACUUCCCCAUGUCCCCAGCAGGCUGUUAGAUAGGACGAACGUAAAGCUCUUUCUGUCUGCGUCCAGCCUGCAUUUACAGGAUGAGAUCUCAGAGGCAUGUUUUAUUUUUUUCUUUUGAAGAAAAGUGAAAAUUAAUUAUAUAUACACGUGUAUAUAUAUUUAUAAUAUUUAGCCUUCCUAAAGAAGACAUUAAAUAGUAACAUAAUUUAAUAAUAUUAUUUUACUGUGGCAUUUAUUAAUGCCACUGAUAUGGGGAUAAAAUUCAUGACAUGCAUUUUCAAUGUAUUCAGGACUGAAGAGUGAUAAUUCACUUGGAACACCAAAGAGUAAAUCAUCAGUAGUGUAUUCUACAAAAUCCCUGUAUGCUGAAGGAAUGUGAAAAGUUACCAUCAGCUGCCUGAUGCCCUUUAGAGAUGUCCAAUACAACAAUAAGGCAACAUUGUUCUGAUGAAUCAGCUGGCUAAACUUCUGACUAAAAAGUUCAAAAAGUGAAAAAACGGGGUGAUCCUCAGCCCUCAGCUACUUUUUAGUCUAAAGUAGAAAGAUGUGUACUUUUUACCUAAGAAAAUCAAGCUGUAUUAUGGAGAGUCUGUCCAAGCGUUGUUAACAGGCAGCACAGAAAACAUGAAGUGCUAAACUAGUGUCCCCCUCAGUGAUGCUAUCUUGUUGAGAGCUUUGAAUCUGAGGAA